rnacentral:rRNA from 1 species
ACACAGGUGCUGCAUGGCUGUCGUCAGCUCGUGUCGUGAGAUGUUCGGUUAAGUCCGCUAACGAGCGCAACCCUCGCUGUGUGUUAUAUGUGUCACACGGGACUGCCGGUCUUAAGCCGGAGGAAGGUGGGAUGAUGUCAAGUCAGCAUGGCCUUUAUAUCCUGGGCUACACACACGCUACAAUGGCCAACACAAUAGGUUGCUAAGCCGCGAGGUGGCGCCAAUCCAUAAAGUUGGUCUCAGUUCAGAUUGUAGGCUGCAACCCGCCUGCAUGAAGAUGGAGUUGCUAGUAACCGCAGGUCAGCUAUACUGCGGUGAAUACGUUCCCGGGGCUU